rnacentral:rRNA from 1 species
AGUGAACGCUGGCGGUAGGCCUAACACAUGCAAGUCGAACGGCAGCACAGUAAGAGCUUGCUCUUACGGGUGGCGAGUGGCGGACGGGUGAGGAAUACAUCGGAAUCUACUUUUUCGUGGGGGAUAACGUAGGGAAACUUACGCUAAUACCGCAUACGACCUACGGGUGAAAGCAGGGGAUCUUCGGACCUUGCGCGAUUGAAUGAGCCGAUGUCGGAUUAGCUAGUUGGCGGGGUAAAGGCCCACCAAGGCGGCGAUCCGUAGCUGGUCUGAGAGGAUGAUCAGCCACACUGGAACUGAGACACGGUCCAGACUCCUACGGGAGGCAGCAGCGGGGAAUAUUGGACAAUGGGCGCAAGCCUGAUCCAGCCAUACCGCGUGGGUGAAGAAGGCCUUCGGGUUGUAAAGCCCUUUUGUUGGGAAAGAAAAGCAGCAGGUUAAUACCCCGCUGUUCUGACGGUACCCAAAGAAUAAGCACCGGCUAACUUCGUG